rnacentral:tRNA from 1 species
GCCUUCGUGGUAUAGUGGUCAGCACGCUGGACGCGUAUUCCAAAGGUUCGUGGUUCGAGUCCCGGCGAAGGCG